rnacentral:rRNA from 1 species
GGGUUGUGAGGUUAAGCGACUAAGCGUACACGGUGGAUGCCUAGGCAGUCAGAGGCGAUGAAGGGCGUGCUAAUCUGCGAUAAGCGUCGGUAAGGUGAUAUGAACCGUUACAACCGACGAUACCCGAAUGGGGAAACCCAGUGCAAUUCGUUGCACUAUUGCAUGGUGAAUACAUAGCCAUGCAAGGCGAACCGGGGGAACUGAAACAUCUAAGUACCCCGAGGAAAAGAAAUCAACCGAGAUUCCCCCAGUAGCGGCGAGCGAACGGGGAAGAGCCCAGAGUCUGAAUCAGUUUGUGUGUUAGUGGAAGCGUCUGGAAAGUCGCACGGUACAGGGUGAUAGUCCCGUACACAAAAACACACUUGCUGUGAACUCGAUGAGUAGGGCGGGACACGUGACAUCCUGUCUGAAUAUGGGGGGACCAUCCUCCAAGGCUAAAUACUCCUGACUGACCGAUAGUGAACCAGUACCGUGAGGGAAAGGCGAAAAGAACCCCGGCGAGGGGAGUGAAAUAGAACCUGAAACCGUGUACGUACAAGCAGUGGGAGCACCUUCGUGGUGUGACUGCGUACCUUUUGUAUAAUGGGUCAGCGACUUAUAUUUUGUAGCAAGGUUAACCGAAUAGGGGAGCCGUAGGGAAACCGAGUCUUAACUGGGCGUCUAGUUGCAAGGUAUAGACCCGAAACCCGGUGAUCUAGCCAUGGGCAGGUUGAAGGUUGGGUAACACUAACUGGAGGACCGAACCGACUAAUGUUGAAAAAUUAGCGGAUGACUUGUGGCUGGGGGUGAAAGGCCAAUCAAACCGGGAGAUAGCUGGUUCUCCCCGAAAGCUAUUUAGGUAGCGCCUCGUGAACUCAUCUUCGGGGGUAGAGCACUGUUUCGGCUAGGGGGUCAUCCCGACUUACCAAACCGAUGCAAACUCCGAAUACCGAAGAAUGUUAUCACGGGAGACACACGGCGGGUGCUAACGUCCGUCGUGAAGAGGGAAACAACCCAGACCGCCAGCUAAGGUCCCAAAGUCAUGGUUAAGUGGGAAACGAUGUGGGAAGGCAUAGACAGCCAGGAUGUUGGCUUAGAAGCAGCCAUCAUUUAAAGAAAGCGUAAUAGCUCACUGGUCGAGUCGGCCUGCGCGGAAGAUGUAACGGGGCUAAACCAUGCACCGAAGCUGCGGCAGCGACACUUAGGUGUUGUUGGGUAGGGGAGCGUUCUGUAAGCCGUUGAAGGUGACCUGUGAGGGUUGCUGGAGGUAUCAGAAGUGCGAAUGCUGACAUAAGUAACGAUAAUGCGGGUGAAAAACCCGCACGCCGGAAGACCAAGGGUUCCUGUCCAACGUUAAUCGGGGCAGGGUGAGUCGACCCCUAAGGCGAGGCUGAAAAGCGUAGUCGAUGGGAAACAGGUUAAUAUUCCUGUACUUGGUGUUACUGCGAAGGGGGGACGGAGAAGGCUAGGCUAGCCGGGCGACGGUUGUCCCGGUUUAAGCAUGUAGGCGGAGCGACUUGGUAAAUCCGGUUGCUUAUCAACGCUGAGGUGUGAUGACGAUGCACUACGGUGCAGAAGUAGUUGAUGCCAUGCUUCCAGGAAAAGCCUCUAAGCAUCAGGUAACAUUAAAUCGUACCCCAAACCGACACAGGUGGUCAGGUAGAGAAUACUCAGGCGCUUGAGAGAACUCGGGUGAAGGAACUAGGCAAAAUGGUGCCGUAACUUCGGGAGAAGGCACGCUGGCAUUAGGUAAAGGGACUUGCUCCCGGCGCCGAAGCCAGUCGCAGAUACCAGCUGGCUGCAACUGUUUAAUAAAAACACAGCACUGUGCAAACACGAAAGUGGACGUAUACGGUGUGACGCCUGCCCGGUGCUGGAAGGUUAAUUGAUGGGGUCAGCCUUACGGCGAAGCUCUUGAUCGAAGCCCCAGUAAACGGCGGCCGUAACUAUAACGGUCCUAAGGUAGCGAAAUUCCUUGUCGGGUAAGUUCCGACCUGCACGAAUGGCGUAAUGAUGGCCAGGCUGUCUCCACCCGAGACUCAGUGAAAUUGAACUCGCUGUGAAGAUGCAGUGUACCCGCGGCAAGACGGAAAGACCCCGUGAACCUUUACUAUAGCUUGACACUGAACAUUGAGCCUUGAUGUGUAGGAUAGGUGGGAGGCAUCGAAGUGUGGACGCCAGUCUGCAUGGAGCCAACCUUGAAAUACCACCCUUUAAUGUUUGAUGUUCUAACUCGGCCCCGUGAUCCGGGGUGAGGACAGUGUCUGGUGGGUAGUUUGACUGGGGCGGUCUCCUCCCAAAGAGUAACGGAGGAGCACGAAGGUUAGCUAAUCACGGUCGGACAUCGUGAGGUUAGUGCAAAGGCAUAAGCUAGCUUGACUGCGAGAGUGACGGCUCGAGCAGGUACGAAAGUAGGUCUUAGUGAUCCGGUGGUUCUGAAUGGAAGGGCCAUCGCUCAACGGAUAAAAGGUACUCCGGGGAUAACAGGCUGAUACCGCCCAAGAGUUCAUAUCGACGGCGGUGUUUGGCACCUCGAUGUCGGCUCAUCACAUCCUGGGGCUGAAGUAGGUCCCAAGGGUAUGGCUGUUCGCCAUUUAAAGUGGUACGCGAGCUGGGUUUAGAACGUCGUGAGACAGUUCGGUCCCUAUCUGCCGUGGGCGUUGGAAGAUUGAGAGGGGCUGCUCCUAGUACGAGAGGACCGGAGUGGACGAAUCACUGGUGUUCGGGUUGUCAUGCCAAUGGCAUUGCCCGGUAGCUAAAUUCGGAAGAGAUAACCGCUGAAAGCAUCUAAGCGGGAAACUUGCCUCGAGAUGAGUCUUCCCUGGGGCUUUAAGCCCCCUGAAGGAACGUUAAAGACUAUGACGUUGAUAGGCUGGGUGUGUAAGUGCAGCGAUGCAUUGAGCUAACCAGUACUAAUGAUCCGUGAGGCUUAACCUUACAACACCAAAGGUGUUUUG